rnacentral:misc_RNA from 1 species
GAUAAGAACGCAGCGAAAUGCGAUAAGUAAUGUGAAUUGCAGAAUUCAGUGAAUCAUCGAAUCUUUGAACGCACCUUGCGCCUUUUGGUAUUCCGAAAGGCACACCUGUUUGAGCGUCAUGAAUACCUCAAUCUCCAUCUUUUCUUCGGAUUGAUGGGUGACUUGGAUGUUGAGCCCUGCUGGUAUGCUAUAUCAGCUGGCUUCAAACUUAUUAGCCGGCUCUGUACUGGAUCGGUUUGACUCGACGUGAUAAUAUUAUCGUUGAGGAUGCAUGUCUCAUGCAGCCGGAAAGUAUCAAAGCAGCUUCUAGCUUGCCUUUAGUGCACUUUUACAUUUUAGACCUCAGAUCAGGUGGGACUACCCGCUGAACUUAAGCAUAUCAAUAAGCGGAGGA